GAGCUCCGAUCGCCACACCGUUUGUGACCACGCAUCCACCGCUUCAAACUCUACAUUUUUACCGGAACAAUUUCACUGAAUCCAAUUAACUUGAGGAAAAUAAUCACUCUUGCUUAUGUGAAGCUUGGGUAAGGUUGAAAAUAAAUAAUUGGAGCUUGAAAUUGUGAAUAUUGGGACUUGGAGAAAGCUGAGCUUAGAGUUUGUUGAAUUUUGAGGGGCUGCCUUGAUUUUGAAUAAAUUGAUUUGGUCGUUACGUGGAAAUUGGCCAAGGUAUGAUUUAGGUUUCUUGCAUUUAAUAUAUAAUGUUCUGUGAAAACUUAGGCUAGGUGACCAUAAGAUAAGUUGGAAUGCCGGUGUAUGUUUAAUGUUUAGUAAUUUAUUGUUGAAUAUACUUGGUUGGUGUUUAUGGAUAAUUAGUAAUUGAUUAUGGAUGGUGGUUGUUGGUAUGUUGAUUUGGAAAGAAACGUGGUUGAAUUUUGUUG